rnacentral:rRNA from 1 species
AUGAACGCUAGCGGCAGGCUUAAUACUGCAAGUUGAGGGGCAGCAUGAUAUACGGAGUAUAUUGAUGGCGACCGGCGGACGGGUGAGUAAUAGGUAGGAAGACCUACCUCAUACGAGGGGGAUAGCAUAGAGAAAUCUGUGGUAAUACCCCCAUGAGGUUUAUAUGAAUAGAGGCAUAUAAUCAAAGCAUAAGCGAUUAUGCGGUAUGAGAGGGGGCCUACUGACCAUUAGCUAGUUGGUGAGGUAAGGGCUCACCAAGGCGAAGAUGGUUAGGGGUUUUGAGAGAGAGACCCCCCCACAUUGGAACUGAGAGACGGUCCAGACUCCUACGGGAGGCAGCAGUAGGGAAUAUUGGGCAAUGGGCGAAAGCCUGACCCAGCCAUGCCGCGUGAAGGAAGACGGCCUUAUGGGUUGUAAACUUCUUUACUACGCGAAUAGAGGUUAGUACGAGAUACUAAUAGGAAGGUAGUGUAGUAAAAAGCACCGGCUAACUCCGUG